rnacentral:sRNA from 1 species
AUAAAAAGAUAUUAAAAUAUUAUGAGACGAGUUAUAUAGUGGGACGGGUUUGCAUUGAUAUAACGCGGGUUAAAUCUUUAUUUAUUAUUCUAUCAUCACUAAUU